AUACGAAAGGGGCAAGCGUUGUUCGGAUUUACUGGGCGUAAAGAGAUCGUAGGUGGUUUAUCAAGUCGGAUGUGAAAUCCCGGGGCUCAACCCCGGAACUGCAUUCGAUACUGGUAGACUUGAGUUAGGGAGGGGGAUGCGGAAUUCCGCGUGUAGCAGUGAAAUGCGUAGAUAUGCGGAGGAACACCAGAGGCGAAGGCGGCAUCCUGGACCGAUACUGACACUGAGGAUCGAAAGCGUGGGUAGCAAACAGGAUUAGAUACCCCAGUAGUCC
rnacentral:rRNA from 1 species